rnacentral:rRNA from 1 species
UACGUAGGGGGCAAGCGUUGUCCGGAAUCAUUGGGCGUAAAGCGCGUGUAGGCGGGUCGGUAAGUCCGCUCUGAAAGCCCGGGGCUCAACCCCGGGAGGCGGGUGGAUACUGUCGACCUCGAGUCCGGAAGAGGCGAGUGGAAUUCCUGGUGUAGCGGUGAAAUGCGCAGAUAUCAGGAAGAACACCCGUGGCGAAGGCGGCUCUCUGGGACGGUACUGACGCUGAGACGCGAAAGCGUGGGGAGCGAACAGG